AGUGAACGCUGGCGGUAGGCCUAACACAUGCAAGUCGAACGGCAGCACAGGAGAGCUUGCUCUCUGGGUGGCGAGUGGCGGACGGGUGAGGAAUACAUCGGAAUCUACUUUUUCGUGGGGGAUUACGUAGGGAAACUUACGCUAAUACCGCAUACGACCUACGGGUGAAAGCAGGGGAUCUUCGGACCUUGCGCGAUUGAAUGAGCCGAUGUCGGAUUAGCUAGUUGGCGGGGUAAAGGCCCACCAAGGCGACGAUCCGUAGCUGGUCUGAGAGGAGGAUCAGCCACACUGGAACUGAGACACGGUCCAGACUCCUACGGGAGGCAGCAGUGGGGAAUAUUGGACAAUGGGCGCAAGCCUGAUCCAGCCAUACCGCGUGGGUGAAGAAGGCCUUCGGGUUGUAAAGCCCUUUUGUUGGGAAAGAAAUCCAGCUGGUUAAUACCCGGUUGGGAUGACGGUACCCAAAGAAUAAGCACCGGCUAACUUCGUGCCAGCCGCCGCCGUAACAC
rnacentral:rRNA from 1 species